rnacentral:lncRNA from 1 species
GUCUGGGUCUCCUACAUCAUGACUCCACAGCUCUAGGUCUGUGUCUGGGUCUCCUACAUCAUGACUCCACAGCUCUAGGACUGUAUCUGGGUCUCCUACAUCAUGACUCCACAGCUCUAGGCCUGUAUCUGGGUCUCCUACAUCAUGACUCCACAGCUCUAGGCCUGUAUCUGGGUCUCCUACAUCAUGACUCCACAGCUCUAGGCCUGUAUCUGGGUCUCCUACAUCAUGACUCCACAGCUCUAGGUCUGUGUCUGUUUCUCCUACAUCAUGACUCCACAGCUCUAGGUCUGUGUCUGGGUCUCCUACAUCAUGACUCCACAGCUCUAGGACUGUAUCUGGGUCUCCUACAUCAUGACUCCACAGCUCUAGGUCUGUGUCUGGGUCUCCUACAUCGUGACUCCACAGCUCUAGGACUGUAUCUGGGUCUCCUACAUCAUGACUCCACAGCUCUAGGUCUGUGUCUGGGUCUCCUACAUCAUGACUCCACAGCUCUAGGUCUGUGUCUGGGUCUCCUACAUCAUGACUCCACAGCUCUAGGUCUGUGUCUGGGUCUCCUACAUCAUGACUCCACAGCUCUAGGACUGUAUCUGGGUCUCCUACAUCAUGACUCCACAGCUCUAGGUCUGUGUCUGGGUCUCCUACAUCAUGACUCCACAGCUCUAGGACUGUGUCUGGGUUUCCUAAAUCAUCCUCUUCCCUCCAUGUCCUCCUGGCUGCUGCUGUUCUAAGUGCUCCACUGACCUGCUGUUGUCGUCUGUCCUCCUUGGCUCAUCUGAGAUGUUUAGAUUACAUCAUAUUUGAGGACACAUAAUUUAAGGGCCUAUGUAUUUUUCAUGUUUUAUUCACCUACAAUCUUUUCCCCUCCCUUUCUGGCUGCCCUGCCCCCUUCCCUACUCAGAU